rnacentral:rRNA from 1 species
GUGGAGCAUGUGGCUUAAUUUGACUCAACGCGGGGAAUCUUACUAGGUCCGGACCGAUUCUAUGAUCGUCGUACUGUGGGGUGCUACGUGAUUACUGGAUGAGUGGUGCAUGGCCGUUCUUAGUUCGUGGUGUCAGUUGUCUACUUAAUUGUCAUUGGUUCUCGUAUCUUACGGUACAGAACUGAUAACGAACGAGAUCGAGGCCCGUCGUAGGUUAUUAUUGUGUGCGACGUUAACUACGGGGAUCGCGUAAUACUCCACGGUACGAUCGAAAGACUCGGCAAUAACAGGUCUGUGAUGCCCUCAGAUGUUCUAGGCUGCACACGUGCUACAUUGUGGUUUCGCGUAGUGUGUGUGUGCAUAGAACUGAUAAGAUCCCCCGCACCGAGUCUCAAUUAACUACGUGGUUGGACUCACCGUUGUAAUUAUUCGGUAUACUAA